GACGAACGCUGGCGGCGUGCUUAACACAUGCAAGUCGAACGGAAAGGCCCUGCUUUUGUGGGGUGCUCGAGUGGCGAACGGGUGAGUAACACGUGAGUAACCUGCCCUUGACUUUGGGAUAACUUCAGGAAACUGGGGCUAAUACCGGAUAGGAGCUCCUGCUGCAUGGUGGGGGUUGGAAAGUUUCGGCGGUUGGGGAUGGACUCGCGGCUUAUCAGCUUGUUGGUGGGGUAGUGGCUUACCAAGGCUUUGACGGGUAGCCGGCCUGAGAGGGUGACCGGCCACAUUGGGACUGAGAUACGGCCCAGACUCCUACGGGAGGCAGCAGUGGGGAAUAUUGCACAAUGGGCGGAAGCCUGAUGCAGCAACGCCGCGUGCGGGAUGACGGCCUUCGGGUUGUAAACCGCUUUCGCCUGUGACGAAGCGUGAGUGACGGUAAUGGGUAAAGAAGCACCGGCUAACUACGUGCCAGCAGCCGCGGUGAUACGUAGGGUGCGAGCGUUGUCCGGAUUUAUUGGGCGUAAAGGGCUCGUAGGUGGUUGAUCGCGUCGGAAGUGUAAUCUUGGGGCUUAACCCUGAGCGUGCUUUCGAUACGGGUUGACUUGAGGAAGGUAGGGGAGAAUGGAAUUCCUGGUGGAGCGGUGGAAUGCGCAGAUAUCAGGAGGAACACCAGUGGCGAAGGCGGUUCUCUGGGCCUUUCCUGACGCUGAGGAGCGAAAGCGUGGGGAGCGAACAGGCUUAGAUACCCUGGUAGUCCACGCUGUAAACGGUGGGUACUAGGUGUGGGGUCCAUUCCACGGGUUCCGUGCCGUAGCUAACGCUUUAAGUACCCCGCCUGGGGAGUACGGACGCAAGGCUAAAACUCAAAGGAAUUGACGGGGCCCCGCACAAGCGGCGGAGCAUGCGGAUUAAUUCGAUGCAACGCGUAGAACCUUACCUGGGUUUGACAUGGAUCGGGAGUGCUCAGAGAUGGGUGUGCCUCUUUUGGGGUCGGUUCACAGGCGGUGCAUGGCUGCCGUCAGCUCGUGUCGUGAGAUGUUGGGUUAAGUCCCGCAACGAGCGCAACCCUUGUUCACUGUUGCCAGCACGUUAUGGUGGGGACUCAGUGGAGACCGCCGGGGUCAACUCGGAGGAAGGUGGGGAUGACGUCAAGUCAUCAUGCCCCUUAUGUCCAGGGCUUCACGCAUGCUACAAUGGCUGGUACAGAGAGUGGCGAGCCUGUGAGGGUGAGCGAAUCUCGGAAAGCCGGUCUCAGUUCGGAUUGGGGUCUGCAACUCGACCUCAUGAAGUCGGAGUCGCUAGUAAUCGCAGAUCAGCAACGCUGCGGUGAAUACGUUCCCGGG
rnacentral:rRNA from 1 species